UGCUGUCCCCUUCAUUGUCUCUAACCCAAGAUUGUUCUGCAGCAGGGUGUUUUGGGGUAAAGCCUGCGCUAAUCUUCUGGCUAGAAGCAGGAGCCCUGUGGAGACUGCCAGGAAGCCUGUUUGCGGUAAAACUCGAGCCAGAAAUCCAUCCUUGUCCCUACUGCUCUCUUGCCUUCUCCAAUCAGAACUUCCUCAGCCUUAGUCAUCACAUGAAACAAAGUCAUCCCUCUUGGAUCCUCCUGGGAAUAUCUACAAGAAAGCACCCUCAAUCAGAAAAUUUCUUUCUACGUGAUCAGAACCAAUGGCAGCAGCAUUCUGAUCCAUAUAAUGACAAACCAAAGAAUGACAUACUUGAAAGUCAGAAGCACAAAGAAAGAUCCAUACAUUUGACUAGUAGGAUGAAGCAUACAAUUUGAACAAUGUUUUCUAGACUAUUUAGCAGCCAAAUAGGUAGCUCUAGUAAACAGAUGACAAUGGAGGAAGACAUUAAUACAGGCCUGAAAGAAAAUCCAAAGGACACAGGUGGAGUAGUUCUGGGGAUAGAAUUACCAUUAAUUUUAAGAGACAAGUAUGUAAGGCCUGAGCACGGCUUCAACGAUGGAUCGAGUCUCAUCACACAUCAAAUGACUCACACAGAGGAGAAGCCCCAUGUUUGUAGAGUGUGUGGCCGAGGCUUUGGUUGGAGGUCAAUUCUUAUCACACACCAGA